CCCCUAGUGACUAGACGGUGGCUCUCGACGCUCCGACCUUCCUCCGCCUCUCUCCUCCGCACAGCAAAUGGCAGUGCUGUCUCGCCCUCGUCCUACAGUUGAACAACAAUGCAACUAAUUGCAACACCUGCCAUCGGAAAGCGUCAGCCACAAUGGGUCUCGGCGCCACCGUUUCCAUGGAGAAGGUAAACAAUGCUCAGUGAUUGUGCAAGUAACGCUUCUACUCACCCGAUGGUCAGACAGAUGUAAAAAAAAAAAAAAAAAAAAAAGAAAAAAGAAAGAAAGAGAAAAAAAAGUCUUAUUCAAGUGGUGUGGAAGGGUUCAGAGUCGGUCCGUCAUUUACUUAGAUGAAUAGCAUUAAUCAGAAUGUAUACCUUUCUGCAGAAUGUAAACUUCGAGGCAAAUAAAGUAAAUAGCAUGUGUUUCUGAUCGAAUUACACUCUUCUGGCCAUGUAGAAUAAGAGUAGGAUUCGGGUGAGCGGUAGUGUGAACACCCCUUCCCUUUGCCUGUGCUCUUGUAAUACAAAAAAAUA
rnacentral:lncRNA from 1 species